rnacentral:rRNA from 13 species
AAGAGAAAGAAGAAAAGGAAGAGAAAGAGGAAAAGGGAGAGGAAUAGGAGGGAUGAAUGAAUGAAGGAGAAAAGGAAAUGGAUUCGGAGAUACCAAUUUUUUCUCAAUUAUUUUGUUCCUUUAUUUCACUUUUCGGCGCUUGUUUUCUUUUCCAUUACUAUUUUGAGACUCGGAGCUACUGUGUCUUUUUUUACUUUCUUUUUCAGGACCUUUUUCUUUUUUUGAAUUGAUACUUUUUGACUC